AUGCUGAAAUUGCUUCUGUAUAUAGCGAAAUUGGAACAGUACAAAGAAAAGGGACAGUACACAUCACCAACGAACAUGCCAACCAUUCCUGUACACAAUGCGAAGAAAAAAAAUCAUACACAGCAGCCCACUACUGCCCAGGCCUGGCCUUUUGGCCUGGCCGAUUGCUGGCUCCCAGGAGCUGCCGCACCGAACAGUUCGCUAGCUCCAGGAGUUUACGUGGGAAGCUGGCUGGUGGAGUUGGGCGCUGGAGUUGAGGAUUUUGUGGCUGUGAGCAACUACCGAACACGCCCUUACUAUCUUCAGAUUAAGCUAAUUUCGUGGCGCACAUGGACAUGGCCAUCUCCUGAAGCAGCUGAUGCGCCCAAAUUUGAAACUAAUAAACUGAAGAGCAAUCGAACCACACUCCUAACCAAUCGGAAAACCAAUAAUGGUUCUGGUUUUGCUUCAGGCUAG
rnacentral:rRNA from 1 species